CCUCUCCCACUUGUUCGAAUCCCGCUUCUAAGCCUUGAGAUGUGCCUGCACGUAUCUUUACAAUAAAUGCGUCAAACUUGGAACCUCUUCAUACCCGGAGCUCAAAACAAAUUUGAGACAAAGAUUUUGGAUGUUGGGAAUGAAGUUUGUUGUUUGGAUGGACCUGGGAACCAACAUCAAAAUCUUGAACUUGACAGACUCUGAGUGCCCCCUUUGGUAGGUGUUUACAAACAACCAGGCCGCAUCUCCUGUACCACUUUUCUCCAGCUACUGGGACCAUGUUACAAAUAUUACAACAAUUCAAAUUCAUACAUUCUGUAAACAGCUAUCCAACUGGAAACCGUUGAGAUUACGAGUCUGUGAUGCUUCAGUUAAAGAGGAAAAUGUCUUCUGAUGGAUUGCCUUGUAAUCGCAACAUGUUCUAUAACAAUAAUUCUUAGCCCUUUCCUUAGGGGACUCAAGUUACUUUGAAGGAAAAAUAAUGAUACUAGAGA